GCUCACCUUGACGAAGUCGAGAUGAGCUUAUGCUAUACCCCUGGCGUCGGCGUCCCAGGUUAAAGUUUUAGGAGCAAGUCCCAUUCCCAAGUAACUAUAAGCCCUACUUGGACCAAACUUGCAUGGAUGAUGCAUCUAGGGAUGGACACUACCACACUUGCUUCGGAUGCUGGAUCUGAUGAGCAGGUCCAUUCCCAAGUAACUAUAAGCCCUACCUGGACCAAACUUGCAUGGAUGAUGCAUCUAGGGAUGGACACUACCACACUUGCUUCGGAUGCUGGAUCUGAUGAACAAGUCCAUUUCUAAGUAACUAUAAGCCCUAUCUGAACCAAACUUGCAUGAAUGAUGCAUCUAGGAAUUGACACUAUCAGACUUGCUUCGGAUGCUGAAUCUGAUCUACAUUUUU